rnacentral:rRNA from 1 species
UACGGAGGAUCCGAGCGUUAUCCGGAUUUAUUGGGUUUAAAGGGUGCGCAGGCGGGGGAUUAAGUCGGCGGUGAAAUUUUGCAGCUCAACUGUAAAAGUGCCUUCGAAACUGGUUUCCUUGAGUGUAGAUGAAGUAGGCGGAAUUUGUGGUGUAGCGGUGAAAUGCAUAGAUAUCACGAGGAACUCCGAUUGCGCAGGCAGCUUACUAAACUACUACUGACGCUCAGGCACGAAGGCGUGGGGAUCAAACAGGAUUAGAUACCCGUGUAGUCCCUGA